CGAACCGAUCCGUGACCGUUACGGUUCUCGUUAAAAGAAACUCGAACAUCUCUCGGCGUAAGCACCCCGCGGUUGGGACUCUCUUCAAGUACCCUAGAUAAAGGCGACCGCUGUGAAAAUGGAGAUUCCGUUAUAAAGUCGAAGUCUUUAUUGUUAUUAUUAUUGUAGGCGACCGCUGUGAAAAUGGCGAUUCCGUUAUAAAGUCGAAAUCUUUAUUGUUAUUAUUACUAUUAUUAUCCCUUUGUGCUCUCAUAAAUGCAUCGCUCGAGAAAUCGUAACUUGAAUCUCUAUAUAUCU
rnacentral:lncRNA from 1 species